rnacentral:rRNA from 2 species
UACCUGCAAGUCGAACGAUGAAGCCUUCGGGUGGAUUAGUGGCGAACGGGUGAGUAACACGUGGGAAAUCUGCCCUGCACUCUGGGACAAGCCUUGGAAACGAGGUCUAAUACCGGAUAUGACCUGUCCUCGCAUGGGGAUGGGUGGAAAGCUCCGGCGGUGCAGGAUGAUCCCGCGGCCUAUCAGCUUGUUGGUGGGGUAAUGGCCUACCAAGGCGACGACGGGUAGCCGGCCUGAGAGGGCGACCGGCCACACUGGGACUGAGACACGGCCCAGACUCCUACGGGAGGCAGCAGUGGGGAAUAUUGCACAAUGGGCGAAAGCCUGAUGCAGCGACGCCGCGUGAGGGAUGAAGGCCUUCGGGUCGUAAACCUCUUUCAGCAGGGAAGAAGCGCAAGUGACGGUACCUGCAGAAGAAGCACCGGCUAACUACGUGCCAGCAGCCGCGGU